GGGUUGUGAGGUUAAGCGAAUAAGCGUACACGGUGGAUGCCUAGGCAAUCAGAGGCGAUGAAGGACGUGCUAAUCUGCGAAAAGCGUCGGUAAGGUGAUAUGAACCGUUAUACCCGACGAUAUCCGAAUGGGGAAACCCAGUAUCCAAUGGAUACUAUCAUUAACUGAAUCCAUAGGUUAAUGAGGCGAACCGGGAGAACUGAAACAUCUCAGUACCCCGAGGAAAAGAAAUCAACCGAGAUUCCCCUAGUAGCGGCGAGCGAACGGGGAGCAGCCCAGAGUCUUAAUCAAUAGCAGUGUCAGGAGAACGGUCUGGAAAGUCCGGCAGUAAAGGGUGAUAGCCCCGUAUCUGAAGAUGCUGUUAUUGUGAACUCGACGAGUAGGGCGGGACACGUGUUAUCCUGUCUGAAU
rnacentral:rRNA from 1 species